UACGUAGGGGGCGAGCGUUGUCCGGAUUUAUUGGGCGUAAAGAGCGUGUAGGCGGCCAGGUAGGUCUGCUGUGAAAACUGGAGGCUCAACCUCCAGACGUCGACGGAAACCGUGUGGCUAGAGUCCGGAAGAGGAGAGUGGAAUUCCUGGUGUAGCGGUGAAAUGCGCAGAUAUCAGGAAGAACACCAAUGGCGAAGGCAGCUCUCUGGGACGGUACUGACGCUGAGACGCGAAAGCGUGGGGAGCGAACAGG
rnacentral:rRNA from 1 species